UACAGAGGGGGCAAGCGUUGUUCGGAAUUACUGGGCGUAAAGGGCGCGUAGGCGGCCUGUUAAGUCGAACGUGAAAUCCCCGGGCUCAACCCGGGAACUGCGCCCGAUACUGGCAGGCUUGAAUCCGGGAGAGGGAUGUGGAAUUCCAGGUGUAGCGGUGAAAUGCGUAGAUAUCUGGAGGAACACCGGUGGCGAAGGCGGCAUCCUGGACCGGUAUUGACGCUGAGGCGCGAAAGCCAGGGGAGCAAACGGG
rnacentral:rRNA from 1 species